GGAAAUUGAACGUCAAAGAGAGAGGGGGAUAAAUGAAUGUGCUAGGUUACAAGAGACUCUCUCAGCAAAGUACAAGAGAAGAAAGCAAAGUUACAAUCCAACCAAAGCUAAACUAACAUUUAUGAUGGCAUAACAAGACAAAAGCAGACAGAAAAUGCACUGGGACUUCCUUGAAGCAAAGCUUAUAAAAGGUUACCAAGAUGUUUUAGGAUGGAAUGUCAUCCAGCUUGUGCUAUGCUUCUGGAUGAUACCCACAGACAGUUUGAUAAUUCACUGCCUCGUUUGCUUGAUGGCCUAUCAAGAACAAUCAGCUACUCAACUGACACAUUGAGGGAAG